GCGAUUCUCAUGCGUGUUUCAUCAGUAAAGCCGGUUCCGUGAUUAGAAGUAAAUCGCCAUCAGCUGCUUUCAGAUGGAGCGGCAUUUAUUACACAGACCCGUAGUUCACAGAGAACCCUACUCUCCUACGUAUACACACACACUCACUCACUCACUCUCUCUCACUCUCCCCCCUCUCUCUGUUUGUCCCUCUUUCAAUUUGUUUUGCCUAUUUCUCUUUGCAUUCUUUCUUUUCUUCAGUAUGGCAUCUUCAGGUUUUGACCAGUUAUGCCAGGAAGCUGCAACUAUUUCAAAGCAUCUUGACAUGAAAGCUGACAAAGCUGAACUUGGAGCAGCUACCAGAGAGGCUGAAGAAAUUCUACAAAUGUUCAAUCCUCCACUGCUGAAAAAGAUGACCAAACGAGCGAUUUCCUGGACUCAACAGACACAGUGAACUUUGCACUGCAUUUCAAAGCCAGCUCCUCAGCCGCAACACCGAGAACCAGAGUUGAGGUCAAUGUACUGCUGAGAAAAGUGCAAGAUCUGUUUAACCAAAAUUAUAAGGAUGCCGGAGGUACUGGAAGGCUCCCCUGGUAAAUCAAGGCAUGACAGUUAAAGUUGCAGGACUGCCCAACAGCCUUACUUUCAAAAAGCCAUCCUAUUGUGGAAGGAAGCAGUUGGAGGCCAUUUUGCAAGCGGCUGAGGAGAUUUCAUUUGAAAUCAG